rnacentral:rRNA from 1 species
CUACGGAGGGUGCAAGCGUUAUUCGGAAUCACUGGGCGUAAAGGACGCGUAGGCGGGUUGGCAAGUCAGAUGUGAAAUUCUACAGCUUAACUGUAGAACUGCAUUUGAAACUGCUAACCUAGAGUAUGGGAGGGGGAGAUGGAAUUAGUGGUGUAGGGGUAAAAUCCGUAGAUAUCACUAGGAAUACCGAAAGCGAAGGCGAUCUCCUGGAACAUAACUGACGCUAAGGCGUGAAAGCGUGGGGAGCAAACAGGAUUAGAUACCCUAGUAGUCC